CCUACGGGAGGCAGCAGUGGGGAAUCUUGCGCAAUGGGCGAAAGCCUGACGCAGCCAUGCCGCGUGAAUGAUGAAGGUCUUAGGAUUGUAAAAUUCUUUCAGUAGGGACGAUAAUGACGGUACUACAGAGAGCCCNAANNG
rnacentral:rRNA from 1 species